UCUGCAAGCUGAUUUUGAAGUCUACACAUGGCAUUAGGAAUAAAGUUUCGGGGGAUGAAGGGCUCAAGGAUACAGAUGUAGUUGCAAAGGAUGCUUGACAGGGACGAUGCACUUCUAAAAGCAAUUUUCUAGGGUGUACAGCAAAGUGUACAACACUGGGUGAUGCUUAGAAUCCUUUCACAGUAUGUAAGCACUCAAACAUAGGACCAGGCAGGAAUGGCGGUUUCUACACUGUAGUAGACCAAGAGAAGCAAAGGAUGCAGUCUCAAAAUAUUGAGCGAGGACGGCUAAAUCUGUGCAUGCCUUUGAGCUUUACGUCUGGGUUAGGGUUUUCGUUUCUGGGUACAAAGUUUUAGGCAUCGAAAACUGGAGCUGCUAAGGAGCAAGGUAACGAAGCGGAAGAUGUGAAAAAGCUGUAAAAGAUUUUAGAAUUUCAAAAGCAAACAGCAGGAGAGGAUGCCAGCUUUUCAUUCUGCUGCAUCGAAUGCUAGGUUGUGCGAGCACGGUUGAAUGAGAGGAGGGGUAAAGGAGGAUGGCAAUGGGCGCACAGGCAGGAGGAAAAGGAGGAGAAGAUGCAGUUGAAUGGCACUUGAGACCACCUAAUUCGAAAAACCCCAUGGCCUUUUUCUAUGAUCCUGUCUGCAGGUUGCUUGCUGGUCGCCUUAAGAUUGAGCUCGUAGCUGAUAUCGCUCCCUAGCCCUCAGAGAAUUUCAGAGGUAAUUUUGUUGAAGGGAGAUGGAAAUGGCUGCACCAACAUCCAUGGCAGUAAAUUUGACGAUGAGAACUUUGUUUCUUAGCACACCGGUCCAGGCUUUCUUUCUAUGCGGUGUACUAAAGUUGUGGGACUCAAUAUUCAAUGGCUUUCAUGAAAUUCAAUGGUUUGAUUCAAACCAUUUUUAGCAAGUUCUGUCCUUGCCACCUCAAUGCAAUAGCAUUUGUAUUCUGAGAAUGUUGUGCCAAUGGGGUAGACACCGGACCUUUCUGCGGUGCUUGUGAGACUUUCCCUGCUGAUUUGUUUACUUUUACAAAUUUUGCUUGUAUUAGUUUUGUUUUUCUUUUGAGUUUUCAUUCGAUCCGACAAUUUUUGGCAGCAACCGAUUAAUGGAGUAUUCAUGUUCUCUCUGUUUCCUGUUUUAUAGGCAAGUAUUAGAGCAAGUAUUCAUGGCUGUCAGAUAUUCAGCUUUGAACCAGUUACUUCUUUCUUAUAUACAUAAAUCUUUAACAUAUAUCAUCUGGUUCGGCAUCUACAAUGCGUCUUCGUUUUCUCCCCUCGAAGCAGGAAUUCUUUCUAUUGCUUUAUAUUACUUCAGUACCUAUUUUUGUAGCCUUGCCAAAGUAUGUUCUUAUUUUUGUUUCUAUUCAUGAUAAAAUUACUGCCAAGAGUUCAAAUGAGUGGUUUGACCAGUUUCUGCUUGCACUAGUUUGGUGGGAUAUUCCAAUUACUCAUCACAUGCACGACAUGAGUUUGGCUAGACAACAAGCAUGGCGUUAUUGGGGUUUGUUUGAGAGGGUUUCUAGUAUCUUUUUAAAAUUCUGUUCUCAAAUGGAAGUUUUGGGAAUCACCUAAAUAUGUAUUUGGUUGGGUCUCUCUUGUUGCGGCGCCUGCUUAGGGAGACCUUGCUGGUCGUGAAAAAAUCGGAGACUGCAAUCAGGGCAUAAACAACCGGCUCAAGCUUGCUUGCACUAUUCCUGAGUGUAUUGCUAAGAGUGGUGAGUUGUAAACAAUUGGUACUAAGAUCUGGGAAAGCCGAUUUAAUCUCUGUUGAGUCUUUUGUGAGGCAACUCCCUGAAAUAACCUUAGAAGCAAUGUUCAGGUGAAGUAAGCUCUAGGAGUGGUCAUUGCAUUUGCUAUGGUCGAUGAAAGUGAACUAAAGUUCGUCCUGCAGCUUCUGCCGAUGCUCUGUAGUUAGCCAUAGUCGUUUCUGACUACGUUUUAUUCUGUAGAGAGGGUCGUUAUAACAGUGGUAGUUUAUACUUUUAAACAAUCUCCAGAAAGUAUCUUAAUGAGUCCCUUGUUCUCUCUAGUUGUUAUCGGCUGUUUUGGUACCAAGAUCAUGCUGACAGGUUGAUUUACUAUUGCAUCCUUAUAGUUAGUCAGGACAGAAUCAUGCCGAACUUGCUUUCUAUAGAAAGUUAAAAAGGCUCCAGGCCAUGUUCUUGAUCACUAAAGCCAUUUAUAUCUCUACCUCGAUAAUUCUUGUUCAUAUUCUCCACAAAAGUAUCGCAUCUGUACGUAGUUGAAAUCGUGCCAAGCCCGUACACGAGUCAAUGAAAUAUGUAGAAAUAAUUGACACGACUACGUAGUAAACAACGAGAAAAAGCAACCAACCAGCAAUCAUCGAGGAACGACUCUGAAGACUAGCUAAUUGCCGACCAUCCAAGGGACAAGCCACGCCUAAAUAUUGGCAACCUGGAUUUUGCGGGAAAGUUUCCCACCCAUCGCGUAAUACCAACCGAAACAGGAAUGGAACAUGGUUGGUAUUACGUAAUGGUGUGUUCAGCACAGAAAGAGCCUGUGCACGCGAAUCUUCGCACCUUGAUUGAGGUGAAAACCCUGUUGCAAGGAUAUAGCAGAGAAACUUACCCAGUAUACUAUCUGAUCAUCAUGUUGACUCCUGUAAUACACAGCAGAUUAGUUGAUCCAGGACAAAGAUUCGACACCGUGGUCGAUACUCCAUGCUUCAGAAAAUCUUGGACUUACAUGUAGGUGAUAAACGUGUAGGCAAACCCCUGUUGCCAAUUGUGGGCGUCAUAUGAAAAAGAUGCCUUCCAGAAUAUGGGAGAUGCGAAUCCCUUGGCUGAAAAAAAAUUGACCAUUGAAAAUCCAGUAGUUGAAUGAGUGUGUGACUUCCUGUCUAAAUCACGAAUUGGUUCCGCUAGAGGAAUGGAACAUACCAACCAUGUUUCUGUCCACAGUUGGGCGCUGCAUUUCUUACUCUCCAAUUAAUGAAAUUUACAUUUCCUACUA